rnacentral:rRNA from 1 species
CGAGGGGUAACAGAUCUUCGGAUGCUGACGACCGGCGAACGGGUGAGUAACACGUAUGCAACUUACCCAUAACUCGGGAAUAGCCCAAAGAAAUUUGGAUUAAUACCCAAUAAUACAGGCGUACCGCAUGGUAUUCUUCGUUAAAGAAUAAUCGGUUAUGGAUAGGCAUGCGUUCUAUUAGGUAGUUGGUGAGGUAACGGCUCACCAAGCCGACGAUGGAUAGGGGAACUGAGAGGUUGUCCCCCCACACUGGUACUGAGACACGGACCAGACUCCUACGGGAGGCAGCAGUGAGGAAUAUUGGUCAAUGGACGAAAGUCUGAACCAGCCAAAUCGCGUGAAGGAAGAAGGUAUUAUGUAUCGUAAACUUCUUUUGUAAGAGAGUAAAGUGCACUACGUGUAGUGUAUUGCAAGUACCUUACGAAUAAGCAUCGGCUAAUUCCGUGCCAGCAGCCGCGGUAAUACGGAAGAUGCAAGUGUUAUCCGGAUUUAUUGGGUUUAAAGGGUGCGUAGGUGGUCUAAUAAGUCAGUGGUGAAAUCUCUUUGCUUAACAAGGAAAUUGCCAUUGAAACUGUUAGACUUGAGAAUGGACGAGGUAGGCGGAAUUCGUAGUGUAGCGGUGAAAUGCAUAGAUAUUACGAAGAACUCCAAUAGUGUAGACUGCUUACCAGACCAUAUCUGACACUAAGGCACGAAAGUGUGGGUAUCAAACAGGAUUAGAUACCCUGGUAGUCCACACAGUAAACGAUGAAUACUAACUGUUUGCGAUAUACAGCAAGUGGUCGAGCGAAAGCGUUAAGUAUUCCACCUGGGAAGUAUGCCGGCAACGGUGAAACUCAAAGGAAUUGACGGGGGCCCGCACAAGCGGAGGAACAUGUGGUUUAAUU